UACGUAGGGUGCAAGCGUUAAUCGGAAUUACUGGGCGUAAAGCGUGCGCAGGCGGUUCUAUAAGACAGAUGUGAAAUCCCCGGGCUCAACCUGGGAACUGCAUUUGUGACUGUAGAGCUGGAGUACGGUAGAGGGGGAUGGAAUUCCGCGUGUAGCAGUGAAAUGCGUAGAGAUGCGGAGGAACACCGAUGGCGAAGGCAGCCCCCUGGGCUGACACUGACGCUCAGGCACGAAAGCGUGGGGAGCAAACAGG
rnacentral:rRNA from 1 species